GCCCCUGUAGCGCAAUGGUAGCGCGUGAGACUGUAAGUUCACACAACUUAUCAAUUCACCAAUUGCAACUCCCUUACUAAUUCAUUCACAGUCUAAUCUCAAGGUUGCGGGUUCGACCCCCGCCAGGGGUU
rfam:Aspergillus flavus AF70 8, whole genome shotgun sequence.